AGCGAACGCUGGCGGCAGGCCUAACACAUGCAAGUCGAACGAACUCUUCGGAGUUAGUGGCGGACGGGUGAGUAACACGUGGGAACGUGCCUUUUGGUUCGGAAUAACUCAGGGAAACUUGUGCUAAUACCGAAUGUUCCCUUCGGGGGAAAGAUUUAUCGCCAUUAGAGCGGCCCGCGUCUGAUUAGCUAGUUGGUGAGGUAACGGCUCACCAAGGCGACGAUCAGUAGCUGGUCUGAGAGGAUGACCAGCCACACUGGGACUGAGACACGGCCCAGACUCCUACGGGAGGCAGCAGUGGGGAAUCUUGCGCAAUGGGCGAAAGCCUGACGCAGCCAUGCCGCGUGAAUGAUGAAGGUCUUAGGAUUGUAAAAUUCUUUCACCGGGGACGAUAAUGACGGUACCCGGAGAAGAAGCCCCGGCUAACUUCGUG
rnacentral:rRNA from 1 species